AGGUUAAGCGACUAAGCGUACACGGUGGAUGCCCUGGCAGUCAGAGGCGAUGAAGGGCGUGCUAAUCUGCGAUAAGCGCCGGUAAGGUGAUAUGAACCGUUAUAACCGGCGAUACCCGAAUGGGGAAACCCAGUGUGAUUCGUCACACUAUCAUUAACUGAAUCCAUAGGUUAAUGAGGCGAACCGGGGGAACUGAAACAUCUAAGUACCCCGAGGAAAAGAAAUCAACCGAGAUUCCCCCAGUAGCGGCGAGCGAACGGGGAGGAGCCCAGAGCCUGAAUCAGCAUGUGUGUUAGUGGAAGCGUCUGGAAAGGUGCGCGAUACAGGGUGACAGCCCCGUACACAAAAGCGCAUGUGCUGUGAGCUCGAUGAGUAGGGCGGGACACGUGGUAUCCUGUCUGAAUAUGGGGGGACCAUCCUCCAAGGCUAAAUACUCCUGACUGACCGAUAGUGAACCAGUACCGUGAGGGAAAGGCGAAAAGAACCCCGGCGAGGGGAGUGAAAAAGAACCUGAAACCGUGUACGUACAAGCAGUGGGAGCACAGGUUUACCUGUGUGACUGCGUACCUUUUGUAUAAUGGGUCAGCGACUUAUAUUCUGUAGCAAGGUUAACCGUAUAGGGGAGCCGUAGGGAAACCGAGUCUUAACCGGGCGUUAAGUUGCAGGGUAUAGACCCGAAACCCGGUGAUCUAGCCAUGGGCAGGUUGAAGGUUGGGUAACACUAACUGGAGGACCGAACCGACUAAUGUUGAAAAAUUAGCGGAUGACCUGUGGCUGGGGGUGAAAGGCCAAUCAAACCGGGAGAUAGCUGGUUCUCCCCGAAAGCUAUUUAGGUAGCGCCUCGUGAAUUCAUCUCCGGGGGUAGAGCACUGUUUCGGCUAGGGGGCCAUCCCGGCUUACCAACCCGAUGCAAACUGCGAAUACCGGAGAAUGUUAUCACGGGAGACACACGGCGGGUGCUAACGUCCGUCGUGAAGAGGGAAACAACCCAGACCGCCAGCUAAGGUCCCAAAGUCAUGGUUAAGUGGGAAACGAUGUGGGAAGGCCCAGACAGCCAGGAUGUUGGCUUAGAAGCAGCCAUCAUUUAAAGAAAGCGUAAUAGCUCACUGGUCGAGUCGGCCUGCGCGGAAGAUGUAACGGGGCUAAACCAUGCACCGAAGCUGCGGCAGCGAACGUAUCACCCAAGACAACUUUACGGAGUUGACGAUUGACGGAGCGAAGCGACGUCAAAGCGUUCAUUAAAGUCGAGUUGGCUUAGGGAUACGUUCGUUGGGUAGGGGAGCGUUCUGUAAGCCUGUGAAGGUGUGUCGUGAGGCAUGCUGGAGGUAUCAGAAGUGCGAAUGCUGACAUAAGUAACGAUAAAGCGGGUGAAAAGCCCGCUCGCCGGAAGACCAAGGGUUCCUGUCCAACGUUAAUCGGGGCAGGGUGAGUCGACCCCUAAGGCGAGGCCGAAAGGCGUAGUCGAUGGGAAACGGGUUAAUAUUCCCGUACUUGGUGUUACUGCGAAGGGGGGACGGAGAAGGCUAUGUUGGCCGGGCGACGGUUGUCCCGGUUUAAGCGUGUAGGUGUGUGUUCCAGGUAAAUCCGGUUCACUUUAACACUGAGGCGUGACGACGAGGCACUACGGUGCUGAAGCAACAAAUGCCCUGCUUCCAGGAAAAGCCUCUAAGCAUCAGGUAACACGAAAUCGUACCCCAAACCGACACAGGUGGUCAGGUAGAGAAUACCAAGGCGCUUGAGAGAACUCGGGUGAAGGAACUAGGCAAAAUGGUGCCGUAACUUCGGGAGAAGGCACGCUGACACGUAGGUGAAGUGAUUUACUCAUGGAGCUGAAGUCAGUCGAAGAUACCAGCUGGCUGCAACUGUUUAUUAAAAACACAGCACUGUGCAAACACGAAAGUGGACGUAUACGGUGUGACGCCUGCCCGGUGCCGGAAGGUUAAUUGAUGGGGUCAGCGUAAGCGAAGCUCCUGAUCGAAGCCCCGGUAAACGGCGGCCGUAACUAUAACGGUCCUAAGGUAGCGAAAUUCCUUGUCGGGUAAGUUCCGACCUGCACGAAUGGCGUAAUGAUGGCCAGGCUGUCUCCACCCGAGACUCAGUGAAAUUGAACUCGCUGUGAAGAUGCAGUGUACCCGCGGCAAGACGGAAAGACCCCGUGAACCUUUACUAUAGCUUGACACUGAACAUUGAGCCUUGAUGUGUAGGAUAGGUGGGAGGCUUUGAAGUGUGGACGCCAGUCUGCAUGGAGCCGACCUUGAAAUACCACCCUUUAAUGUUUGAUGUUCUAACGUGGACCCGUAAUCCGGGUUGCGGACAGUGUCUGGUGGGUAGUUUGACUGGGGCGGUCUCCUCCUAAAGAGUAACGGAGGAGCACGAAGGUUGGCUAAUCCUGGUCGGACAUCAGGAGGUUAGUGCAAUGGCAUAAGCCAGCUUGACUGCGAGCGUGACGGCGCGAGCAGGUGCGAAAGCAGGUCAUAGUGAUCCGGUGGUUCUGAAUGGAAGGGCCAUCGCUCAACGGAUAAAAGGUACUCCGGGGAUAACAGGCUGAUACCGCCCAAGAGUUCAUAUCGACGGCGGUGUUUGGCACCUCGAUGUCGGCUCAUCACAUCCUGGGGCUGAAGUAGGUCCCAAGGGUAUGGCUGUUCGCCAUUUAAAGUGGUACGCGAGCUGGGUUUAGAACGUCGUGAGACAGUUCGGUCCCUAUCUGCCGUGGGCGCUGGAGAACUGAGGGGGGCUGCUCCUAGUACGAGAGGACCGGAGUGGACGCAUCACUGGUGUUCGGGUUGUCAUGCCAAUGGCACUGCCCGGUAGCUAAAUGCGGAAGAGAUAAGUGCUGAAAGCAUCUAAGCACGAAACUUGCCCCGAGAUGAGUUCUCCCUGAGACUUAGAGUCUCCUGAAGGAACGUUGAAGACGACGACGUUGAUAGGCCGGGUGUGUAAGCGCAGCGAUGCGUUGAGCUAACCGGUACUAAUGAACCGUGAGGCUUAACCUUACAACGCCGA
rnacentral:rRNA from 1 species